UACGUAGGGGGCUAGCGUUGUCCGGAAUCAUUGGGCGUAAAGCGCGCGUAGGCGGUUUUGCAAGCCAGAGGUGAAAUGCCUGAGCUCAACUUAGGAAUUGCCUUUGGGACUGCGAGGCUUUGAGGACUGGAGAGGUGAGUGGAAUUCCCAGUGUAGAGGUGAAAUUCGUAGAUAUUGGGAAGAACACCGGGUGGCGAAGGCGGCUCACUGGCCAGUUUCUGACGCUGCAGCGCGAAAGCGUGGGGAUCAAACAGGG
rnacentral:rRNA from 1 species